CCCUUAGAUGUUCUGGGCCGCACGCGCGCUACACUGUUCGACGCAGCGAGUCUUAACCUUGACCGAAAGGUUUGGGUAAUCUUCAGCAAAGUCGAACGUGAUGGGGAUCGAUCAUUGCAAUUAUUGAUCGUGAACGAGGAAUUCCUAGUAAGUGCACGUCAUCAGCUUGCGCUGAUUACGUCCCUGCCCUUUGUACACACCGCCCGUCGCUACUACCGAUUGAAUGGUUUAGUGAGAUCUCUGGAUUGACGCUGGCUAGGGGGCGACCCUUGGCCAGACUGCUCGAGAAACUGCUCAAACUUGAUCAUUUAGAGGAAGUAAAAGUCGUAACA
rnacentral:rRNA from 1 species